GACGAACGCUGGCGGCGUGCUUAACACAUGCAAGUCGAGCGAUGAAGCUCCUUCGGGAGUGGAUUAGCGGCGGACGGGUGAGUAACACGUGGGUAACCUGCCUCAUAGAGGGGAAUAGCCUUCCGAAAGGAAGAUUAAUACCGCAUAAGAUUGUAGUGCCGCAUGGUACAGCAAUUAAAGGAGUAAUCCGCUAUGAGAUGGACCCGCGUCGCAUUAGCUAGUUGGUGAGGUAACGGCUCACCAAGGCGACGAUGCGUAGCCGACCUGGGAGGGUGAUCGGCCACAUUGGGACUGAGACACGGCCCAGACUCCUACGGGAGGCAGCAGUGGGGAAUAUUGCACAAUGGGGGAAACCCUGAUGCAGCAACGCCGCGUGAGUGAUGACGGUCUUCGGAUUGUAAAGCUCUGUCUUCAGGGACGAUAAUGACGGUACCUGAGGAGGAAGCCACGGCUAACUACGUGCCAGCCGCCGCAGUAA
rnacentral:rRNA from 1 species